GAAAGAAAUGGUUAGGUUACUGCUAAUAACUUAUUGUCAGUUUAGUCUGACUUCUUUCU
rnacentral:tRNA from 1 species